AACGGCUGUUAAGGGCUCCUUUGGGGCUAUCCUAAAAUAGACAAAACUGAAAUUUGGGGCAAGAGUGAGAUGAAGCCCAAUGACAGGAGAAAGUCAGUGACACGAACAAAAGGAAGAUCAUUGACGUCAUUCACGUCAGUCAUCGGCAAAGUUGGCAAAAGGAGGCCGUAGAGCAAAACCUGUGCAUGGAAGCCCUGGCCUGCUUUAGCGUGGUUUGGAGCAUCCUCAAGGAAAUGGCAACCCACUCCAGUACUCUUGCCUGGAGAAUCCCAUGGACGGAGGAGCCUCGGCGGCUACAGUCCACGGGGUCGCAAAGAGUCGGACACAACUGAGCGACUUCACUCACUCAAGAUUUUUAAUAAGGAUCACAACCGACGGGCAGGCUGGAGGCGGAGAUGCAGGAGCAAACGACAUCAGAAAGGUCAGAGCAGCUCUGUUUGUUUUUCCAAACUGUCAGAGUAAAGUUACAACGUGCCACCUGGGUAAGCCACUAGCAAAGUCCCCGGAUGACGUCCACUGUAACCGCAGGGAUUUCUCACAGUGGGGAUUGCUAGAAGAAGAAUUUGCUUGGGGGAAGGGAGCUGCCAGAAACCAGCCCCAGCGAAGCACCGGGAUGGCUCAAUGCUUGACAUGACAACGGUCUUAUUUUUAAUCCUCAACCAGACCCUCUGAGGUGCCACCUGUGCUGAGACCACCUCCCUCCACCAUUCUGCAACUCCCAGCCUCCUCCGCGCACAGUGACGUCAUUUCCUGGUUUUACUUCUGGAUGGUUCUCCAGUCUGCCUACGGUCACACCAAAACUACGCAGCUCCUUCUGAGCCAGGCAGUGGGCACCCAGCAUGGCAGAGCUCACUUGUGAAGCUGGGUAAGUGCGGUUCACUCCGGAAGUGCCUAGACCCUACUGCACUGCCUUGCGUCUUCAUAUUUCAGGCUUUCAAAUCACCUUGCUGCUGCCACGCAGAUAAAGUGGAAGCCUGUUCUACAUCCUGCAGCAAUUUUCAUGUGGGGAAAUAAUAAUAUAGGACAAAGAAUUAUUGAUGUCACCGUCUAGGUCGUAGCUUGAAUCCAUCUUUCCCUACAGAUACUCUGUUGAUUUAAUUGAAGGGAAGCCCAAAUGAUAAUAAAACAGAUGAUAAUGAACACGCUAGCAAUAGCGAACCUUCCCAGAGUACUUUCUCUAAACCAGACGCUGUGCUUUCAUGACUAAAACCAUGAUCGCAAACUGGGUUACUGUGAACCCAGCUUCCGAAGGAGGUGGAUCCCUCAGUUAGGCCCAUUUUACAAAGAAGGAAAUUGAAACCUGGAGAGGUUAAGGAACCAUCCUGAGAGUCAGAAUACUUCAGGGACCUCCCUGAUGGUGCAGUGGCUGAGACUCCACGCUCCCAGUGCAGGGGACUGGCCUCAACCCCUGGUCAGGGAACUAGAUCCCAUGUGAUGCAACCAAGAGUCCAAGCUGCGACAAAGACCUGGCCCAGCUAAACUAAACAUAUGAAUAUAGGACGAUAUCUAGUGUGCAUGGGUGACGGUGUUAGCUGCUCAGUGGUGUCAGACUCUUUGUGACUUCAUGGACUGCAGCCCGCUAGACUCCUCUGUCCAUGGAAUUCUCCAGGCAAGAAUACUCUAGUGGGUUGCCAUUCCCUUCUCCAGGGAAUCUUCCCCAUCCAGGAAUCGAACCCAGGUCUCCUGCACUGCAGGCAGAUUCUUUUUUUAAAUUUAUUUUUUUAUUGAAGGAUAAUUGCUUUACAGAAUUUUGUUGUUUUCUGUCAAACCUUAACAUGAAUCAGCCAUAGGUAUACAUAUAUCCCCUGCCUUUUGAACCUCCCUCCUGUCCCCCUCCCCGUCCUUCCCCUCUAGGUUGAUACAGAGCCCCUGUUUGAGUUUCCUGAGACAUGCAGCAAAUUCCUGGUGGCUGUCUAUUUCACAUAUGGUGAUGAAAUCAGUGAGUGUGGAAAGCCGCCAAGGAUCCAUCAGCACCAAACAGAGGCUUUCUCCUUAAUGUCAUCUGGCAGAUGGAAG
ensembl:lncRNA